UACAGAGGUCCCGAGCGUUGUUCGGAUUCACUGGGCGUAAAGGGUGCGUAGGUGGCUGGGAGAGUUUGAUGUGAAAGCUCAGGGCUUAACCCUGAAAUGGCAUUGAAUACUGCCUGGCUGGAGGUUUGGAGGGGGGACUGGAAUUCUUGGUGUAGCAGUGAAAUGCGUAGAUAUCAAGAGGAACACCAGUGGCGAAGGCGAGUCCCUGGACAACACCUGACACUGAGGCACGAAAGCCGGGGGAGCAAACGGG
rnacentral:rRNA from 1 species